UAAUACGGGAGGCAGCAGUGGGGAAUAUUGCACAAUGGGCGCAAGCCUGAUGCAGCCAUGCCGCGUGUGUGAAGAAGGCCUUAGGGUUGUAAAGCACUUUCAGUAAGGAGGAAAGGUUAGUAGUUAAUACCUGCUAGCUGUGACGUUACUUACAGAAGAAGCACCGGCUAACUCCGUGCCAGCAGCCGCGGUAAUACGGAGGGUGCGAGCGUUAAUCGGAAUUACUGGGCGUAAAGCGUACGCAGGCGGUUUGUUAAGCGAGAUGUGAAAGCCCCGGGCUCAACCUGGGAACUGCAUUUCGAACUGGCAAACUAGAGUAUGAUAGAGGGUGGUAGAAUUUCAGGUGUAGCGGUGAAAUGCGUAGAGAUCUGAAGGAAUACCGAUGGCGAAGGCAGCCACCUGGGUCAAUACUGACGCUCAUGUACAAAAGCGUGGGGAGCAAACGGGAUUAGAUACCCCGGUAGUCCACGCCGUAAACGAUGUCUACUAGGAGCUGGGGUCUUCGGACAACUUUU
rnacentral:rRNA from 1 species